rnacentral:rRNA from 1 species
GUGGCAAGAUGGUAAACAUGCAGUCGAACGAACCUUAUGGUUAGUGGCGGCGGGUGAGUAACGCGUGAGAAUCUGCCCUCAGGAGGGGGAUAACGGUUGGAAACGACCGCUAAUACCCCAUAUGCCUACUGGUGAAAUGAAUUUCGCCUGAGGAUGAGCUCGCGUCUGAUUAGCUAGUUGGUGAGGUAAUGGCUCACCAAGGCUUCGAUCAGUAGCUGGUCUGAGAGGAUGAUCAGCCACACUGGGACUGAGACACGGCCCAGACUCCUACGGGAGGCAGCAGUGGGGAAUUUUCCGCAAUGGGCGAAAGCCUGACGGAGCAACGCCGCGUGAGGGACGAAGGCCUCUGGGCUGUAAACCUCUUUUCUCAAGGAAGAAGAUAUGACGGUACUUGAGGAAUAAGCCACGGCUAAUUCCGUGCCAGCAGCCGCGGUAAUACGGGAGUGGCAAGCGUUAUCCGGAAUUAUUGGGCGUAAAGCGUCCGCAGGCGGCUUUUCAAGUCUGCUGUUAAAGCGUGGAGCUUAACUCCAUCAUGGCAGUGGAAACUGAAAGGCUUGAGUAUGGUAGGGGCAGAGGGAAUUCCCGGUGUAGCGGUGAAAUGCGUAGAUAUCGGGAAGAACACCAGUGGCGAAGGCGCUCUGCUGGGCCAUUACUGACGCUCAUGGACGAAAGCCAGGGGAGCGAAAGGGAUUAGAUACCCCUGUAGUCCUGGCCGUAAACGAUGAACACUAGGUGUCGGGGGAAUCGACCCUUCGGUGUCGUAGCUAACGCGUUAAGUGUUCGCCUGGGGAGUACGCACGCAAGUGUG